UACGUAGGGUGCGAGCGUUAAUCGGAAUUACUGGGCGUAAAGCGUGCGCAGGCGGUUCGUUGUGUCGGCGGUGAAAGCCCCGGGCUCAACCUGGGAAUGGCCGUUGAAACUGGCGAACUGGAGUGUGGCAGAGGGGGGUGGAAUUCCGGCGUGGUAGCAGUGAAAUGCGUAGAGAAUGCGGAGGAACACCAGUGGCGAAAG
rnacentral:rRNA from 1 species